rnacentral:rRNA from 1 species
AGGUAGCAUAAUUAAUUGCCUUAUAAUUGAAGGCUUGUCUGAAUGGUUUGACGCGGUAGCUACAAAUAUUUGAUUUUUUAGUGAAAUUGGUAUGGAGGGCACAGAAUCCUCCUUUUUUAAUCAGACGGAAAGACCCCAGAAUCUUUAUUUUUUGUCUGGGGCAGAUGGGAAUAUUUCAUUCUUAUUUUGACCCCUCUAGGUUUAGUGAGUUAAGUUACUCUGGGGAUAACAGUGUAAUAAUUUAUUAGAGGCCUUAUCGAAUAAAUUGUUUGCUACCUCG